UCUCCCGUCGCGCGUGGCUGCCAAACCCUAGCCAAUCCUCUCCCUGCAGCCUGCCUCGCGAUUUCUUCCUCCCCUGCUCGCCCCCCGCGCGGCCACCACACCAUGAGCUCGGCCCGGCGCCGCCGAUGGAGCGACGAGGCGCGGGAGAGGCGCCGCUGCUGGAGCGCAGCGCGCGGGAGCGGCGCGUCGGUCGAGGCGUAGGAGAGGCACCGGUGAUGGAGCGCAGCGCCGCGGGAGCAGCGCGCCGGUGGAGCGACGACGUCGAGCGAGCUGAGUAGUGAGCGGGAGCGGCACCGCCCGUGGACACAGCAGCCUAUUGCUGCAGCCAAUCAGUAGGGAGAGGCAAAGGGAAGCAUCCCUCCAUGGAUGAGGAGGCGGAGCUUGAUGUGGAUCACCGGGGGCAGCGCCGCGCCGCCGCCAGGGAUGGGAGGAAGGGGAGGAGGCAGAGAACAAGGAGACAUCGAGAAGAGGGGUGUUUUGAUCUCCUUAUUCCUCCAAUGGAUGGGGAACAAGCAGUAUGAUUGCCUCAAUUUCGAGUCAGCUCAGCCGCCAUGAAGGAGGAGGAUGUGCUCCACCUCAUCUCCAUCCUCACGGCUUUGCCACCGGAUUGGUGCCGAUCUCCGUGUCCCCUGCAAGGGGAUCCCAACCUUUCCAUCUCUCCUAUCAAUUUCUCGGUUUCUCUCUAGCAGAUUGCUGCUAUAUGGAAGUUGCUUGAGAUUCCGUGUCACGGUUUGAUUGUCCAUCCUGGCUUUUAUAGUGUCAUGCGGAGAAGGAGUGGUGAAGAGAGGCUUCACGGAAGACAUCUAUUGCCUUGAAGAGCAACACCCAACCUUCUGCAACAAGGUGAGCAAAGAUUCAUAGAAAUUGUUCCAUGCCUCAAGUUUGGUUAACAAGAAGAACUUGCUCGCUCAUUUGGUUAAAUACCUGAAUAUUUAUUCCUUAACAUGUCUUCUGUUGUUUAGCAGAAAGAAAAGAAACAAUUCUUCCAGUGAUUAAUCUGUAGAGAAAGUUGUCUCUGAAAUUUUUAUCUGGAAAUGGAUACUUUGGAUACAGAUGAUUUAUGCUUGAAUUGGCACGUGGUCUUCUUUUAGCCUCCAAAUUAUUUAGGAUUCGUACAUUAAGAUGUACAUUAAGAUCU